GAUGAAGAACGUAGCGAAAUGCGAUAAGUAAUGUGAAUUGCAGAAUUCAGUGAAUCAUCGAAUCUUUGAACGCACAUUGCGCCCGCCAGUAUUCUGGCGGGCAUGCCUGUUCGAGCGUCAUUUCAACCAUCAAGCCCCCGGCUUGUGUUGGGGACCUGCGGCUGCCGCAGGCCCUUAAAACCAGUGGCGGGCUCGCUGUCACACCGAGCGUAGUAGAUUUUCAUCUCGCUCAGGGCGUGCUGCGGGUUCCGGCCGUAAAAAGCCUUAUUUACCCAAGGUUGACCUCGGAUCAGGUAGGAAGACCCGCUGAACUUAAGCAUAUCAAUAAGCGGAGGA
rnacentral:misc_RNA from 1 species